CACCAAAUAAAGCUACGGCUUUGGCAUUAGCCUUCUCCUUCGGUGGUGGUGACUGUAGAUUCUAGGGUUCCAUGUUCCUCGAGCUCCGAAUCUUCAGGUUACCAUGGAGGUUUUGCAGUGUUGUCUGUGUCAAAUUUUCGUGUAUAAUCACUGUGUCGGUCUCCUUCAUGUCGUUUCGUUUCUGAUUCAACUCCUCUGUUACGUUACUUGAUUAAUUGGUUCCAUUAAUAGCGUUCUCUACUCCUUGGACCCACGUCACCCCACAUUCUUCCUUCAAUGCUUCUUAUAUUCCUUUCAGUCGGUGAAACUUCAUCUAUAAAAAGGAUAAAGAUCCCAUCAUAAACCAUCUACCAUCCCCUGCGGAGAUGAGGCUGCUCAGGUUUUGGGAAGCCUGGAACGUCAACUGCGAUGGCGAUCUCUGGAUGCUAAGGUGUUUUUGUUCUUUAAAGUCAUGUUCAUCUUUUUUUUUUUUUUAACACAGCUGUGUUUAGAUUCAUAGUUAUCAGAAUUAUGCUUUAAUAUUAUAUUUUUCCUCUUUGUGCUAUGGUUUUGAAUCCUGUUGUUUUAUGUUUUUCUUUGUUUUUAAUCGUUUUCAGGCAACACUCAUGUCAGCCAAAUUUUCAACCGUCUUGCCACCAGAGACGACUCUUGGUGGCUGGUUCUAAGUACUCCUUGAGCGGCUUUGACGUUACUAGGCGUAAUCAGAAUUUUAGACUGUCAGACGCUCCUCUAUUGAUACGAUUGCAUGAAGAAUGAUAACCCCUACUUUUAUUGACGAGAGUUUACUGUUCUAUCAUGGGUGGAUUUUUUUCCUCUGAUAUAUGGAACUUUCAGACAAUGAUGUUAAACUAAUUCCUUAAGAGUUGGAUGAGCUGAUCGGUGCAAUCAAUGUAACCAUUAGGGGAAAGAGUGGUAAACAUAUAGUUUUGGAGCUCUUACUGUCCAAAGAAUGGUAACAGCAGAAGAUUUGGUAUAGGCAAGUACAUGCUAUUCAGAGACAAUACAUAUAUUAGUUUCCUAUGAGCCAUUUUUGAGUGUUUACUGACAACAUAUUUCAAGGCUUCAGGCUUACCUCUACUGAGAUGGAGUUUCGAGAAAGUAAAAGUUGGCUUACGAUUGUAUUUUUUUUUUUGAAGUAAAAGUUUAACUACUUAGAAAAUUGGUAUGGUUUGUUUCAUCAAAAAAAAAGUAAGUAUUGUUUCAAAAAACCAAUAUUUUGCUAUUACAGAAAACUAAAAGCAACAAGGUUUACAUCAAAUUUUCACAAAAGGGAAUUAUAACCAAUUUUUGCUCUGUC